AUUGAACGCUGGCGGCAGGCUUAACACAUGCAAGUCGAGCGGGGUGAUGGUGCUUGCACUAUCACUUAGCGGCGGACGGGUGAGUAAUGCUUAGGAAUCUGCCUAUUAGUGGGGGACAACAUCUCGAAAGGGAUGCUAAUACCGCAUACGUCCUACGGGAGAAAGCAGGGGAUCACUUGUGACCUUGCGCUAAUAGAUGAGCCUAAGUCGGAUUAGCUAGUUGGUGGGGUAAAGGCCUACCAAGGCGACGAUCUGUAGCGGGUCUGAGAGGAUGAUCCGCCACACUGGGACUGGGACACGGCCCAGACUCCUACGGGAGGCAGCAGUGGGGAAUAUUGGACAAUGGGGGGAACCCUGAUCCAGCCAUGCCGCGUGUGUGAAGAAGGCCUUAUGGUUGUAAGGCACUUUAAGCGAGGAGGAGGCUCUUUUGGUUAAUACCCAAGAUGAGUGGACGUUACUCGCAGAAUAAGCACCGGCUAACUCUGUGCCAGCCGCCGCCGUAA
rnacentral:rRNA from 1 species